GGUCCCCGUCGGCCGCGCCGGGCGCUCCGAGGCCUGCGAGCGGGGCCGAGGCCUGGGCCCACCUGCCCCCAGCGCUCCCCACUUUAACACAACGAGACAGGAAGGGCCCUUCUGCUGUCUCAGCUUGUUUCACACACACAGAGAUGCUGCCCAGAACUCCGUGCUCGUCCCUGCACCCCAGACAUGCUGGAUGAGUGAGGAAAGCAGCAGCAAUUCCACUUCCCUGGGGAAAUUUAGGACCAGGUUCCCUGGAACCCGGCACACAAAGCACUCCAGUAACAAGCUUUUAAAUUCAGGAGUCAGGCAUGGAGGCCACAUCAGAGUUUCAUUCUGGGAGCUGCCACCUGAAGCCACAAGAGAACCCCACUCUGCUCCUGGGAGGGGGGCACCAGACCUGCCGCUUCAACCAACAAAGAGUCUCAAUACAGGAGUGUCUGUAAAGCAAAUAAUUUCUCUUCUCUUCAAAAUCAUCUUUUCCCUAUCCUUCAAGAUAGCUUGCAGUGCGCCAGAGCUGUUUCUGAGAGUGGGAAGGGCCUGGUUGCUGGCUCAGUGA
rnacentral:lncRNA from 1 species